rnacentral:rRNA from 1 species
CGUCUGAACUCCCGCAACGAGCGCAACCCUUAUCACUAGUUGCCAGCAUUUAAGGUGGGGACUCUAGUGAGACUGCCGGCGUAAGCCGCGAGGAAGGUGGGGAUGACGUCAAAUCAUCAUGGCCUUUAUGCCUAGGGCUACACACGUGCUACAAUGGCGAAUACAAAGGGUAGCGAAGCCGCGAGGUGGAGCCAAUCCCAGAAAGUUCGUCCCAGUUCGGAUUGGAGUCUGGAACUCGACUCCAUGAAGGUGGAAUCGCUAGUAAUCGCGCAUCAGCCAUGGCGCGGUGAAUACGUUCCCGGACCUUGUACACACCGCCCGUCAAACCAUGGGAGUUGGGGGUGCCUGAAGGUGGUGGCCAUAGAGGAGCUACCUAGGGUAAAACUGAUAACUGGGGUUAAGUCGGAACAAG